AAAAUUGGAUUUUCUUCAUUCUGGCACAACGCGGUGGCCCCCAUAAAUUUUGGUAUAGUCCUCAGUGUCAGCGGUGAAUGACCUUUUCACCAGGCACCACAACAAUAUUUCGUCUGCAGUCGUGACUGUUUAUUGUGCAGUUCUUGAUGGUGAAGUCCAGAGGUGCCAGAUUUUGACUGCAGUCGCCCUUGGUCGUCACAGAAGAACUUCCAGGAUGUUCAACCCAGUGGCUUCAAUAAGAAGACUGGGUCCCACAGGAAAGAUCAUUAUCGGCUGGGUGACAAUAAUGCCUACAGCAAUCAUUUCCUUCAUUCUUGUGAAAAAGCAUGUCGACAGGAAUCGACUGGAGAUUCUUCGCAGCAAGGCGCGGAUGAGAGGGGUGGAAGAGAGGAACCUAAAUGAGCUACGGAGUAACAGAGGAGGCGGCAUACAGUAGAUAAACAUUGUACGAUAUCCGACCUGUUUCCAGCUUUAAUGGUUUUUGCGUUCAUCUCAUUGUUUUGGAGCCUAUGAUCAUUUGUGGCAUAUGAAAAUCAUCAGUUCAUUGUCACGAAAAUCAAUUUUUUAAGGACAGGAUGAAAUUUUUGUCUGUACCAACAAGUGAAUUUCGUCCUGGGAUAGAGGGACUGGUCCACGAGACAGCCCUGCACCAUAUUUUGUGCUUGCUGUGGGGUGAAAGUUCUCAUUGUCAUCCCAUGGGACAGAUCUGAAAGUGAAAUAUUCCAAUGACAGUGGACUGUCUGCAUGACAGGUGAUGCAAUAAAACUACCUUCUGAUGGGACUUUGCUGUGUACAUUUUUUACUAUUUAUUCUUGAAUUCUAGCUAUAGCCUUGCCACUUGGCAAUUCGAUGCCUUGUUGUAAUAUUUCUUAACAUAGAAAUAACAUUCUAGUUGAACUAUGACAUUUUAUCACUCAGUGCUUCCCUAUAUCAUUGACCCCCAUGUCAUAGUGACAAUAUGACCAGGUCUCUAACAUUACAUUACCUAGCAAUUCAACAGCACCUCCUGUUGGGCUGAGGUGGUACUGCAACUGGCAUGGUCUUGACCAUCAACAUGUACAUAAGUGCAUUCCAUAACCUCCUUGGCGCAACAAAGGGAAGUAUCCAAAGCUUUUUUGGUCAUAAAGAAUAAGUAUUCUUUAACUGACAGAUGAAAACCUCUAUCAUGAAUGUAUUUUUAAGAAACAUCUUGUACAAGAGCGGUAACCAAACACAGAAUGGUUUAUCUUAAUCAAUAAUUUGAGCUAUUUCUUCUGUUAAACCAAGGACAUUACAUUGUGGUCCCUGGUUGAACAGCAUAAUUCAUUCAUAAUUUUUUUGUUCUUGUGCAAUUAUUCACUCUCCUUUAUGAUUCUUCUUAGUUCAUGUCUAGUAAUAUACCUUUUUUUAUUUUUUUACAACUUUCUGAACCACAAUCAACAACACUAUAUUGUUAUAUCAACAGACAAGGGGAAUACACCAAUUGUGAUGAAUUGGGAAGAUCACUUAAUCGCUAGCCAUGCUCAAUAAUUCAUAACGCUACAACAUGUGCCAAGUUGAAGUGCCAUGUUGUAUUACACAUUGUCUCCUUGCUUUACUGCCUGGGCUGUUUUUCUGUGGCUGUCUUGCCUUGCUUUAUUGGAACCAUGAACUAUAUGGUGUAUGUGGUCUCUUUACGUUUUCAGUAUCAUCAGUAUGUAACAUUACAAAUUAGAUUAAAAGGAUUUCAUAUACAGGUACAUUGGAAUGGAUAGUCUUCCCUAAUGCCUUGGAAAAUUGUGACUUGUGUUAUGGUUGUUUGACAGAAAAUUUAGAUGCAUAAAUACCUGAAGGUUUGGGGAUGCUAUAUUAUUUUCUUUUAUCAAAGAAUCCUUCUGUCUUGUCUGCAAACAUCAUUUGCCCACUAUUCCAUCAGCCAAUUUCAAUGGGAUUAAUGUUACACGUAUGUUUGAAUUUGAUGGGUAUCUGGGAAUGUCAAUAAAAUGGUC